rnacentral:rRNA from 1 species
AAACCAACAGGGAUUGCCCCAGUAACGGCGAGUGAAGCGGCAAAAGCUCAAAUUUGAAAUCCCUCGGGAGUUGUAAUUUGUAGGUUGGGACGCAAGGCAAGUCAGAGUUUAAGUCCCUUGGAACAGGGCGCCUUAGAGGGUGAGAGCCCCGUAAAACUCUGGACAAGCUCCACGCGUCCCUUCCAAAGAGUCGAGUUGUUUGGGAAUGCAGCUCAAAGUGGGUGGUAAAUUCCAUCUAAAGCUAAAUACCGGCGAGAGACCGAUAGCGAACAAGUACAGUGAUGGAAAGAUGAAAAGCACUUUGAAAAGAGAGUGAAACAGUACGUGAAAUUGUUGAAAGGGAAGGGCUUGCAAGCAGACACGGUUUCGGCCGGGCCAGCAUCGGUUGCCAGGGGUGGACAAAACGGCAGGAAUGUAGCUCUCGCGAGUGUUAUAUCCUGCCCGCCAUACACCCACCGGCGACCGAGGCCUGCGUUCUUUCACGGAUGCUGGCGUAAUGGUUGCAAGCCGC